rnacentral:tRNA from 1 species
UGGGGGAUCGUCUAAUGGUAGGACACAGCACUUUGGCUGCUGGUAUUGGGGUUCGAGUCCCUAUCCCCCAGCCA